rnacentral:rRNA from 1 species
UACGAAGGGAGCUAGCGUUGUUCGGAAUUACUGGGCGUAAAGGGCGCGUAGGCGGCCUUCUAAGUCGAACGUGAAAUCCCCGGGCUCAACCCGGGAACUGCGUCCGAUACUGGAAGGCUUGAAUCCGGGAGAGGGAUGCGGAAUUCCAGGUGUAGCGGUGAAAUGCGUAGAUAUCUGGAGGAACACCGGUGGCGAAGGCGGCAUCCUGGACCGGCAUUGACGCUGAGGCGCGAAAGCUAGGGGAGCAAACGGG